rnacentral:rRNA from 1 species
CUGGAGACAGGUGCUGCAUGGCUGUCGUCAGCUCGUGUCGUGAGAUGUUGGGUUAAGUCCCGCAACGAGCGCAACCCUUGCCUUUAGUUUGCCAGCAGUUCGGCUGGGCACUCUAAAGGGACUGCCGGUGUUAAACCGGAGGAAGGUGGGGAGUGACGUCAAGUCCUCAUGGCCUUUAUGACCAGGGCUACACACGUACUACAAUGGCCGAUACAAAGGGCAGCGACACUGCGAGGUGAAGCCAAUCCCGUAAAAUCGGUCUCAGUCCGGAUUGGAGUCUGCAACUCGACUCCAUGAAGUUGGAAUCGCUAGUAAUCGUGGAUCAGCAUGCCACGGUGAAUACGUUCCCGGGCCUU